rnacentral:lncRNA from 1 species
CACUGCAAGUCUACAACUUCAAACUUAUAUAAUCUCGUUUCAUACAUAGGAAAUGGGAUUUUCAUAUGUAUUCAACAUAGUACAAGUAAAAGGUUAAUUGAAGGUAUACACUUAUUCAAAUAAUUUAACUUUUAAGUUCAAACUUCAAAAAUACCAUGGCCAGAACGUUUUCACGAAUUUUGUCGACUCUAUAUGAUGGGAGUUACAAACACACAAAGUAGUU